UAAAAGAUUGUGAAGAGUCAUCUUAUUUUGAAGAGUUGUUAACUGUGGUAAAAAUAUAGAUUUUAAUACCCAUCUUAUUUUAGUUCUAAUACUUGGCAAUUGCCAGGUAUCAUCUUUUCGAUUUACCCAAUUCCACCAUUGAGGCCACAAGGGAGAUUUCUUCCAGAGAGAGGAUAGAGUUAUUAAGUCUAAAGUCCAUUAUUUGUUUUUGUCCUUCAUAAAAAGAUGGUCCUGACUCUGGGUGGAUCUAACAAGGAUCCUGGAACUCCAGGGGUAUUGUUUAAUUCUUACCGGACUCGAUCCUGGCUUUAAAUCAAUUCUCACAGGUUCUGCUUUUUGGAUUUACCAGGAACUUC